GAUGAACGCUAGCUACAGGCUUAACACAUGCAAGUCGAGGGGAAACGGCAUUGAGUGCUUGCACUCUUUGGACGUCGACCGGCGCACGGGUGAGUAACGCGUAUCCAACCUUCCCAUUACUGUGGGAUAACCUGUCGAAAGGCAGACUAAUACCGCAUAGUCUUCGAUGACGGCAUCAGAUUUGAAGUAAAGAUUUAUCGGUAAUGGAUGGGGAUGCGUCUGAUUAGCUUGUUGGCGGGGUAACGGCCCACCAAGGCAACGAUCAGUAGGGGUUCUGAGAGGAAGGUCCCCCACAUUGGAACUGAGACACGGUCCAAACUCCUACGGGAGGCAGCAGUGAGGAAUAUUGGUCAAUGGACGGAAGUCUGAACCAGCCAAGUAGCGUGCAGGAUGACGGCCCUAUGGGUUGUAAACUGCUUUUGUAUGGGGAUAAAGUUAGGGACGUGUCCCUAUUUGCAGGUAC
rnacentral:rRNA from 1 species